rnacentral:misc_RNA from 1 species
AGAACCCAGUUGGGAAGUAGUUGCAGAAUCCAUUGUUUCUCAUCUUCUGGUAUCAACAGAACGCAUAUACCACUGGGUUACCGACAUGGUCCUCGAUGAUGGUGCUCCAAAUGUGCAACCUAUUGACGAAAGUGAAAAUGACAUGGUUGCUUUUCUAUUGCCUGUGAUGCAUCAGGUCUGUUUAUCUUUGAAAGAUUAUUUACCCCUGGAGAAGCAGCUUAGGCUUGCCAACAUUGUGGUCAAAUGAGGCUUGUUAAU